rnacentral:snRNA from 1 species
GUGCCUUCCUGGAAGGAGAUCUAAUGAUCAGAAAGGUGGUUUUCCUGGGGUGAGACUUUUAUUCACUCAAAUGUGCUGACCCCUACAACUUCUCUAGAGGCACAGAAGUCAGCUGAAUAAGUUUUGGGAGAGGGAGCCUAUGUUCCCACUUUCCUG